CCCAGACUCCUACGGGAGGCAGCAGUGGGGGAUAUUGCACAAUGGGGGGAACCCUGAUGCAGCGACGCCGCGUGGGUGAAGGAGCGUUUCGGCGCGUAAAGCCCUAUCGGCAGGGAAGAAGGAGGACGGUACCUGACUAAGAAGCCCCAGCUAACUACGUGCCAGCAGCCGCGGUAAUACGUAGGGGGCAAGCGUUAUCCGGAUUUACUGGGUGUAAAGGGGGCGCAGACGGCAGCGCAAGCCAGGAGUGAAAGCCCGGGGCCCAACCCCGGGACUGCUCUUGGAACUGCGCGGCUGGAGUGCAGGAGGGGCAGGCGGAAUUCCUGGUGUAGCGGUGAAAUGCGUAGAUAUCAGGAGGAACACCGGUGGCGAAGGCGGCCUGCUGGACUGCGACUGACGUUGAGGCCCGAAAGCGUGGGGAGCAAACAGGAUUAGAUACCCGGGUAGA
rnacentral:rRNA from 1 species